UCCCGAACCGCCCCGAAUGCAUGUAUUGGACCUCGUAAGCUCGCAUAAGGGACAAAUUGCAUGUGAAAAGAAAAGUUUUUAAUUAUUUGAGAUUUCAUGGCCCUGUUUAGUAUGGAAAUGUUAGUAAAAGUCAGGUAGCACCUCGAACCCCGUCCCGGCGUCGGAUGCGGGCGAGGGGUGUUACAUUUAGUGGUAUCAGAGCAUGGUUUAGUCGGUUCUCGGACUAACCUAGCGUAAGAGAGUCUAGCUAUACAUGCCAUAGUAUUACUCGUGAUAGUGUGAUAUCUCUCGGCCCUAACAAAACUGUUGAUUAAGACAGGAAUGAGUUCGAACCGAGCAAAUCUUGAUAGAGAUAAGAGUAAAGUUGAGAUUAUUGAAUCAUGCUUGUGACAUGCUGAAAAUGGGAAAGAGUUCCAGGUUAGCUCGGGUUGGAGGCCGUCGGAGAUAUUAUCACCCUAUCGAGUUAACGUUAUCGGAGUAAGUAAACUCAAGUGAUUCGAGUCUAUGGCAUGUAUAGGGUUUUAAUGUGAGUAUGUAAUAUUAUGAUUUAGCCAAAGGCAUUGGCUUGUUAUUAAGGUAGUAUUAGUCAUGUAAAUUGGCCUAUGUCGGCUAAUGACGUUAUGGGCCCAUAUGAUUAUUCUUAUGCAUUUAUGUUAUUAUUUCUUGUGAUGUGGCUUACAA